rnacentral:rRNA from 1 species
AAGAUAGAGUUUGAUCCUGGCUCAGAGCGAACGUUGGCAGUGUGUCUUAAGCAUGCAAGUCGAACGGCAGCAGGCCAUAUAGCAAUAUAUGGUGCUGGCGAGUGGCGAACUGGUGAGUAACACGUAAGAAUCUACCCUCUGGUGGGGGAUAACUCAUGGAAACAUGAGCUAAUACCGCAUGAAGCCGAAAGGUAAAAGGAGAAAUCCGCCAGUGGAUGAGCUUGCGUCCCAUUAGCUAGUUGGCAGGGUAAAGGCCUACCAAGGCUAUGAUGGGUAGCUGGCCUGAGAGGGUGGUCAGCCACACUGGGACUGAGAUACGGCCCAGACUCCUACGGGAGGCAGCAGCUAAGAAUCUUCCUCAAUGGGGGAAACCCUGAAGGAGCGACACUGCGUGCAGGAUGAAGGCCCUUUGGGUUGUAAACUGCUUUUGUAGGGGAGAAAUAACCGCAAGGGAUGAUAGUACCCUACGAAUAAGUCCCGGCUAACUACGUGCCAGCAGCCGCGGUAAAACGUAAGGGGCGAACGUUGCUCGGAAUUACUGGGCGUAAAGGGCCGGUAGGUGGCUUUAUAAGUCAGUUGUCAAAUACCUAUGCUCAACGUAGGAGAGGCGACUGAUACUGUAGAGCUUGAGUAGAGGAAGGGAUGACGGAAUACCCGGUGUAGGGGUGAAAUCUGUUGAUAUCGGGUAGAACACCGAUGGCGAAAGCGGUCAUCUAGCCUCAUACUGACACUCAACGGCGAAAGCCAGGGGAGCGAACGGGAUUAGAUACCCCGGUAGUCCUGGCCAUAAACGAUGCAUGCUANGUAUUGGCACCGCGUUGGUGAUAGUACCGUAGCUUACGCGUUAAGCAUGCCGCCUGGGGAGUAUGCUCGCAAGAGUGAAACUCAAAGGAAUUGAC